GAUGAACGCUGGCGGCGUGCCUAAUACAUGCAAGUCGAGCGAACGGACGAGAAGCUUGCUUCUCUGAUGUUAGCGGCGGACGGGUGAGUAACGCGUGGAUAACCUACCUAUAAGACUGGGAUAACUUCGGGAAACCGGAGCUAAUACCGGAUGAUAUUUUGAACCGCAUGGUUCAAAAGUGGAAGACGGUCUUGCUGUCACUUAUAGAUGGAUCCGCGCUGCAUUAGCUAGUUGGUAAGGUAACGGCUUACCAAGGCAACGAUGCAUAGCCGACCUGAGAGGGUGAUCGGCCACACUGGAACUGAGACACGGUCCAGACUCCUACGGGAGGCAGCAGUAGGGAAUCUUCCGCAAUGGGCGAAAGCCUGACGGAGCAACGCCGCGUGAGUGAUGAAGGUCUUCGGAUCGUAAAACUCUGUUAUUAGGGAAGAACAUAUGUGUAAGUAACUGUGCACAUCUUGACGGUACCUAAUCAGAAAGCCACGGCUAACUACGUG
rnacentral:rRNA from 1 species